rnacentral:lncRNA from 1 species
UUCUCCAUCCUUUGACCCUGGCUGGCCUCCCCCCCACAUAGGCCACCAGAUGGGCUCCUGAGAUACUCUCCAGGCUGCCUACAACUCAUUCUGUUGCGGGUAGAGAAUGGAAGGGAGCAGCCUAACCGUAGGCAGAGGGGGCGGGGCCUCAGCAUGUGUAACUCCAGGCUUCCUGAAACAAGUGGGAUUUGGGUGUGCAGCACCUAGUGGGCAGAAGGCUGUGUGUGUCCCUUUCCUCUAUCUUCUGGAGACUUCAUGCCUGCAGCAGCUGGCCUCGGGCAAAUAAAAAGACUAAGUG